GACGAACGCUGGCGGCGUGCUUAACACAUGCAAGUCGAACGGAAAGGCCCUGCUUUUGUGGGGUGCUCGAGUGGCGAACGGGUGAGUAACACGUGAGUAACCUGCCCUUGACUUUGGGAUAACUUCAGGAAACUGGGGCUAAUACCGGAUAGGUGCUCCUGCUGCAUGGUGGGGGUUGGAAAGUUUCGGCGGUUGGGGAUGGACUCGCGGCUUAUCAGCUUGUUGGUGGGGUAGUGGCUUACCAAGGCUUUGACGGGUAGCCGGCCUGAGAGGGUGACCGGCCACAUUGGGACUGAGAUACGGCCCAGACUGCUACGGGAGGCAGCAGUGGGGAAUAUUGCACAAUGGGCGGAAGCCUUAUGCAGCAACGCCGCGUGCGGGAUGACGGCCUUCGGGUUGGAAACCGCUUUCGCCUGUGACGAAGCGUGAGUGACGGUAAUGGGUAAAGAAGCACCGGCUAACUACGUG
rnacentral:rRNA from 1 species